rnacentral:rRNA from 1 species
AUGCUGCUGUCGGGUAAGAAACUACGUAGGGUAGACCUACAGCCUGCAAUUGAUCGCCUUGCUGGUAAGUGCUCCGGGUGGAAGAUAGACAUGAUAAAUCUGAUAGGAAGAGUGGUUCUGGUCCGGGUAGUCCUAUCGGCGAUGCCAACCUUUCAGAUGAUUGCAAUACCGCAAGUGAAGUGGCUGGAUCAAAAGAUUGACAAGAUUCGUCGACCGUUCCUAUGGGCCGGUAAAAGCUUUGUUUUAGGUGGCAAAUGCCUUGUAAAUUGGAAUACAGUAUGCAGGCCGACUACAUACGGGGAGCUGGGUAUCUCAAACCUCGGCUACCAUGGCGCGGCGCUGCGUACUCGCUGGCUCUGGCAGCAGGCCAAGUUUCUGGAUAAGUCGUGGACAGGGGACUGCCUUUCCCUUCUGAUAAACUCUCCUACAACAUCUUCAUUGUGA